CCCUUAGAUGUUCUGGGCCGCACGCGCGCUACACUGAUGCAUUCCACGAGUUUCUUCCUGGUCCGAGAGGAAUGGGUAACCUUUUGAAAGUGCAUCGUGAUAGGGAUAGACUAUUGCAAUUAUUGGUCUUCAACGAGGAAUUCCUAGUAGACGUAGUUCAUCAGACUGCAUCGAUUACGUCCCUGCCCUUUGUACACACCGCCCGUCGCUCCUACCGAUUGAAUGCUCAGGUGAGCCAUUCGGACUUUCAUCAUGCUGGUUUCCAGUUUUGAUGAAGGAAAGUCUUGCGAACCUUAUCAUUUAGAGGAAGGAGAAGUCGUAACA
rnacentral:rRNA from 1 species